rnacentral:rRNA from 1 species
GACGAACGCUGUUGGCGUGCUUAACACAUGCAAGUCGAACGGAAAGGCCCUGCUUUUGUGGGGUGCUCGAGUGGCGAACGGGUGAGUAACACGUGAGUAACCUGCCCUUGACUUUGGGAUAACUUCAGGAAACUGGGGCUAAUACCGGAUAGGAGCUCCUGCUGCAUGGUGGGGGUUGGAAAGUUUCGGCGGUUGGGGAUGGACUCGCGGCUUAUCAGCUUGUUGGUGGGGUAGUGGCUUACCAAGGCUUUGACGGGUAGCCGGCCUGAGAGGGUGACCGGCCACAUUGGGACUGAGAUACGGCCCAGACCCCUACGGGAGGCAGCAGUGGGGAAUAUUGCACAAUGGGCGGAAGCCUGAUGCAGCAACGCCGCGUGCGGGAUGACGGCCUUCGGGUUGUAAACCGCUUUCGCCUGUGACGAAGCGUGAGUGACGGUAAUGGGUAAAGAAGCACCGGCUAACUACGUGCCAGCAGCCGCGGUGAUACGUAGGGUGCGAGCGUUGUCCGGAUUUAUUGGGCGUAAAGGGCUCGUAGGUGGUUGAUCGCGUCGGAAGUGUAAUCUUGGGGCUUAACCCUGAGCGUGCUUUCGAUACGGGUUGACUUGAGGAAGGUAGGGGAGAAUGGAAUUCCUGGUGGAGCGGUGGAAUGCGCAGAUAUCAGGAGGAACACCAGUGGCGAAGGCGGUUCUCUGGGCCUUUCCUGACGCUGAGGAGCGAAAGCGUGGGGAGCGAACAGGCUUAGAUACCCUGGUAGUCCACGCUGUAAACGGUGGGUACUAGGUGUGGGGUCCAUUCCACGGGUUCCGUGCCGUAGCUAACGCUUUAAGUACCCCGCCUGGGGAGUACGGCCGCAAGGCUAAAACUCAAAGGAAUUGACGGGGCCCCGCACAAGCGGCGGAGCAUGCGGAUUAAUUCGAUGCAACGCGUAGAACCUUACCUGGGUUUGACAUGGAUCGGGAGUGCUCAGAGAUGGGUGUGCCUCUUUUGGGGUCGGUUCACAGGUGGUGCAUGCCUGUCGUCAGCUCGUGUCGUGAGAUGUUGGGUUAAGUCCCGCAACGAGCGCAACCCUUGUUCACUGUUGCCAGCACGUUAUGGUGGGGACUCAGUGGAGACCGCCGGGGUCAACUCGGAGGAAGGUGGGGAUGACGUCAAGUCAUCAUGCCCCUUAUGUCCAGGGCUUCACGCAUGCUACAAUGGCUGGUACAGAGAGUGGCGAGCCUGUGAGGGUGAGCGAAUCUCGGAAAGCCGGUCUCAGUUCGGAUUGGGGUCUGCAACUCGACCUCAUGAAGUCGGAGUCGCUAGUAAUCGCAGAUCAGCAACGCUGCGGUGAAUACGUUCCCGGG